AGAGUUUGAUCCUGGCUCAGGAUGAACGCUGGCGGCGUGCUUAACACAUGCAAGUCGAACGAUCCUUCGGGAUAGUGGCGGACGGGUGAGUAACGCGUGGGAAUCUGCCCUCAGGAGGGGGAUAACGGCUGGAAACGGCCGCUAAUACCCCAUAUGCCGAGAGGUGAAACGAAUUUCGCCUGAGGAUGAGCCCGCGUCUGAUUAGCUAGUUGGUGGGGUAAAGGCCCACCAAGGCGACGAUCAGUAGCUGGUCUGAGAGGAUGAUCAGCCACACUGGGACUGAGACACGGCCCAGACUCCUACGGGAGGCAGCAGUGGGGAAUUUUCCGCAAUGGGCGAAAGCCUGACGGAGCAACGCCGCGUGAGGGAUGAAGGCCUCUGGGCUGUAAACCUCUUUUCUCAAGGAAGAAGACCUGACGGUACUUGAGGAAUAAGCCACGGCUAAUUCCGUGCCAGCAGCCGCGGUAAUACGGGAGUGGCAAGCGUUAUCCGGAAUUAUUGGGCGUAAAGCGUCCGCAGGCGGCCUUGUAAGUCUGUUGUUAAAGCGUGGAGCUUAACUCCAUUUAAGCAAUGGAAACUACAAGGCUGGAGUGUGGUAGGGGCAGAGGGAAUUCCCGGUGUAGCGGUGAAAUGCGUAGAUAUCGGGAAGAACACCAGUGGCGAAGGCGCUCUGCUGGGCCAUAACUGACGCUCAUGGACGAAAGCCAGGGGAGCGAAAGGGAUUAGAUACCCCUGUAGUCCUGGCCGUAAACGAUGAACACUAGGUGUCGGGGGAAUCGACCCCCUCGGUGUCGUAGCCAACGCGUUAAGUGUUCCGCCUGGGGAGUACGCACGCAAGUGUGAAACUCAAAGGAAUUGACGGGGGCCCGCACAAGCGGUGGAGUAUGUGGUUUAAUUCGAUGCAACGCGAAGAACCUUACCAGGGUUUGACAUCCUGCGAACCCCUGAGAAAUCGGGGGGUGCCUUCGGGAGCGCAGAGACAGGUGGUGCAUGGCUGUCGUCAGCUCGUGUCGUGAGAUGUUGGGUUAAGUCCCGCAACGAGCGCAACCCACGUCUUUAGUUGCCAGCAUUCAGUUGGGCACCCUAGAGAGACCGCCGGUGAUAAACCGGAGGAAGGUGUGGAUGACGUCAAGUCAUCAUGCCCCUUACAUCCUGGGCUACACACGUACUACAAUGCUACGGACAAAGGGCAGCAAGCUCGCGAGAGUUAGCAAAUCCCAUAAGCCGUGGCUCAGUUCAGAUCGUAGGCUGCAACUCGCCUACGUGAAGGAGGAAUCGCUAGUAAUCGCAGGUCAGCAUACUGCGGUGAAUACGUUCCCGGGCCUUGUACACACCGCCCGUCACACCAUGGAAGUUGGCCAUGCCCGAAGUCGUUACUCCAACCCUUGUGGAGGAGGACGCCGAAGGUGGGGCUGAUGACUGGGGUGAAGUCGUAGCAAGGUA
rnacentral:rRNA from 1 species